rnacentral:rRNA from 1 species
GCAAAGCUGAAACUUAAAGGAAUUGACGGAAGGGCACCACCAGGAGUGGAGCCUGCGGCUUAAUUUGACUCAACACGGGAAAUCUCACCAGGCCCGGACACCGGAAGGAUUGACAGAUUGAGAGCUCUUUCUUGAUUCGGUGGGUGGUGGUGCAUGGCCGUUCUUAGUUGGUGGAGCGAUUUGUCUGGUUAAUUCCGAUAACGAACGAGACUCUGGCCUACUAAAUAGAAGGUCUAUCCUACACGGGUAGGCCUCUGCUUCUUAGAGGGACGGGCGGCGUUUAGCCGCACGAGAAUGAGCAAUAACAGGUCUGUGAUGCCCUUAGAUGUUUUGGGCUGCACGCGCGCUACAGUGAAGGAAUCACCAUGUUCUCCCCUCCCUGAAAAGGGCGGGUAACCCGUUGAAACUCCUUCGUGAUGGGGAUUGGAGAUUGUAAUUAUUCUCCAUGAACGAGGAAUUCCCAGUAGGCGCGAGUCAUCAGCUUGCGUCGAUUACGUCCCUGCCCUUUGUACACACCGCCCGUCGCUACUACCGAUCGAGUGAUUUAGUGAGGACUUCGGACUGGUCUUCACGUUGGCUUCCGUCGGCUCGAAGCUCCGGAAAGAUGCCCAAACUUGAUCACUUAGAGGAAGUAAAAGUCGUAACAAGGUUUCCGUAGGUGAACCUGCGGAAGGA